AACGCGAAGAACCUUACCUGGGCUUGACAUCCUGUGAACAUCUAAGAGAUUAGGUUUCCGAGCAAUCGGACACAGAGACAGGUGCUGCAUGGCUGUCGUCAGCUCGUGCCGUGAGGUGUUGGGUUAAGUCCCGCAACGAGCGCAACCCUUGUCGUGUGUUGGUCCACAAGAUCUCUCACACGAGACCGCCGGUGACAAGCCGGAGGAAGGUGGGGAUGACGUCAAGUCAGCAUGGCCCUUACGUCCAGGGCUACACACGUGCUACAAUGCGCGCGACAGCGAGUCGCAAACCCGCGAGGGUAAGCUAAUCUCUUAAACGCGCGCUCAGUUCGGAUUGAAGGCUGCAACUCGCCUUCAUGAAGUCGGAAUCGCUAGUAACCGCAGAUCAGCUACGCUGCGGUGAAUACGUUCCCGGGCCUUGUACACACCGACAUA
rnacentral:rRNA from 1 species